UACGAAGGGGGCGAGCGUUGUUCGGAUUUACUGGGCGUAAAGGGCGCGUAGGCGGCUAUUCAAGUCAGGCGUGAAAGCCCCGGGCUCAACCUGGGAGGUGCGCUUGGGACUGGGUGGCUGGAGUUCGGGAGAGGAGAGUGGAAUUCCCAGUGUAGAGGUGAAAUUCGUAGAUAUUGGGAAGAACACCGGUGGCGAAGGCGGCUCUCUGGACCGAGACUGACGCUGAGGCGCGAAAGCGUGGGGAGCAAACAGGG
rnacentral:rRNA from 1 species